rnacentral:tRNA from 1 species
GGUCCUUUAGCUCAGUUGGUUAGAGCGCAUGACUCAUAAUCAUAAGGUCGCUGGUUCAAGCCCGGCAAGGACCA